GGAGCCGCUGAGGACACACACAACACACAUACACACAUACACAAGAGCAACAGAUUUAACAGCUGCUUUAAUACUGCAGCGAAUCACUUUAAUACAAAUAUUACAUUUAACCUUUUUGGUCUGCUGAACCCCUUCGAUAAUAUUUACUUUAAGUCACUUUGAGAUUAUGUGUGUGUGUGUGUGUUAAGGUGCACUGUAAAAAUUUUCCAGGAUUUCACAAUAUAUAACUGUAAUAUUUCACAGUUAAUUACAUUAUUACCACUUCACAGGCUUUAACUGUGAUAAUUCACAAUAUAAUACCGUAUUUAGACUUUUACUGUGAAAAUAAUGCAGGCGCGGGGCUUUUACAAGAAACUACUGUGAAUGCCGUCUUUUUUGAGUGGCAACUGCGGCAGCGUCAUCAGAGCGUCAUCAGAGCUCUCUGAUCUACGUGGUCUCAUUCGGUGGAUUCAGACAGCGGUAAGUGUUUAAAUGUCAAACUUUAUCAAUUUGAUGUUUUUUAUAUGAUAGUGCAUGUAAUUUAAAAGUAUGAACCAAAUUAGGGUUAGUUGUAGGUUCUGUUGUCAUGUUUUUGUAAGUUAGCUGGAGCAGACUCGCAUCGACGAUUAAGCGCGCAAAUUUGAAUGAAAAGACGUUGGUUGUAGUGUUAAUUAUACCGUAUUAAGUUAACUGUGAGAUGUCUGAUUAGAUACACCGUCGAACAUUUAACUUUAGCUUUAAAGCCUCUGCAAACGGAACAUGUAAAUUAUGUAAAUUGUUGUGUGCGAAUGCUUUGCCUAGGUAAAUCACACACCUCUACUUUGGUGAAGGUCUAUUCUUGACUGUGUUUGUGAUGGAAAUGUUUUUCAGUUCAGUUCCAUGCAUUUUUUUUUCUGAAUUACAGUACUUACACCUGAAUUACACCUUUGUUUAAACUGAGCUAACUUUAGUUUGACUCUGUACUGCAAAAGCAGUGACCCACUGAAGGUGGUGACUGGGAACUGACACUUUUUUCAUCACACGAAUUAAACUAACAGGUUUCUUCUGUCUUUUUGUUUGUAGGUGCUUCUUGGGCAUCAACCCACAGACAGGCACAAAAUCUAAGAGGCAGAGAGGUCACAUGAACCAGCAAGUCUGCACUCUUAUCAGGAAGCUCAUUGACUUCGAAUGGAUGUCAAUCUAAUUGGAUAGAACCCACACUAUGCAGGUGCCAGCUGCGAGGGAAGGAGAGAGACACCUGCGACACCACCUUUUUGUCUUUUCUUACAUCUCUCUCCCUCACUCUCUCUUCUCUGUCUCCUUCUUUCUCUUUUGACACACAUUCCUGUUACCCAGUGUCAAUCCCUGUUGCCCAGUGUUUUAUUCAUGUAAUUAAAUUGUAUUUUACUUCUAAAAAAUAAAAGUUAUGUCACUGUUUUUAUCAGUUUUGUUUGGUCCAUCAUUUAUGCUAAAUCACAGUAAUAGAUAGACAUUCACAGUUAUGUACAGUAAUUCUACAGCUGCUUACUGCUAAAUUACAGUAAUAGAUAGACUAAUUUUACAGUUAAAUACAUUAAUUCUACAUCUGCUUGCUGCUAAAUUACAAUAAUAGACACUAAUUUCACAGUUAAAUACAUGAAUUCUACAGCUGCUUACUGUUAAAUUACAGUAAUACAUAGACACCAACUGUAAUUUCACAGUUAAAUACAUUAAUUCUACAGCAGCUUACCGCUAAAUCACAGUAAUGCGAUGUCUAAAUUACUGUGAAGUCACAGUAUACAGCUGUCAUUUCACAAUAAUUUACUGUAAAAAUGUUACAGUAACUUACUGUGAAAGUCAUGCAAUUAUUAACCUGCAAUUUAUUGUAAAUUUACAGUCAAAUAAUUAACAGUGUGUGCUCGUACCGUCGGCACAGGUGACUCCGGCGGCUCUGGCUCCGCCCCCUCGUGGGCAGGACACCUGUCUGUUCCUGUGGCACUGCUGGAUGGAGAUCUCUGUGCCGAUGCAGUGUGUUCCGCUCAGAAGCACGUCCUCGGACCCGGAGCUGCUGGGCCAGAACCAGGUCUCCUGCGGGACGGACCGAACACAUGACUGCCUCCGCAGGAAUCCACCCAGAGUCUAAUAACGCCCGCUAUUACAGCUAAUUCAUGCACAUUAUCAAAUACUUUCCACGUUCCUCUCCACCGUCUAUUUAGCGAGAGGCUUUAAUAAGAGUGCAAAUGUGCUCCGGUUCAGCAGCUCUAUUCUGGGUUUGUUUUCUCUCUGGUUUCCUGCUCUUUCCCUGAAUCUGUGCAGGGCUGUAAUUACCUCUGCAUGGAAACAACAGCCGUGAAAACAGUGAAACGAAUAGAUUCUGCAUUGCGCAUCUGACUUUACCUCGUGACUGUGUUUGUUUAAUGCUUUUCAUCUGCUGCAAGUCAUUUAUCAUGUUGCAAAAAAGAGACACAAGUUUGUUUCCACGCUUUCAUUUUUCACUAUUAAUACCUUGCACCUGUUUCCAAGAAAGUCAGGCUGUUAUUCUCUUGAACACAUGGUAUGGAGGUUGGAGGUAACGUCACGUACCUGAUGGGCUCUGGAAGCGAAGCCCAAGCCGAGCUGUCGACACACCACCAUGGCUUCAUUAAUGCCCCAGUUCUGACCGCAGACGGAGCCCCAGCGCUGCUGACCGUUCACCUCCAUCAGCACCUCCACCCGGCCCUCCGCCGCCUCCCGCCCCCCCGCCAGACGCACCUGGACAUUACAGGACACACCACAGCCCGGGGGGCACUCGUCAGGCUGCCAUCGACUCGAGCAGAAGAUUACUCUACUACAGGAAGUGUGUACGUACGGUGGCGCUCAGGCCGGUGUUGGGGACGUUGCAGCGGACAGAUGCAUCCUGGGAGUGUUUGCAUGAGUGCAGUGGCACCUCCCGGAAGCGGCACUGUGUGAUGGAGCGCUCCUGUCCCGAACACUGCACCGCGUUCAUGUGGAUCAGACCCGUACCUGCACAAACACAUGUUCCACGAGCUGAUGAAGAAAACUGCAACUGGCCUGAUUGAAAGACUAGUGGAGAAACUCAAACUCAACACCCAUGAGCCACUGGGAAAGAGGAAAUAACACUGAGCUCAUAUCAGCUCUGGUGACAUUACCUUGACCCAUGAGCGCUCCUCGUGGGGCGUCUCUGGCCGAGCCGAAGCCCAGCUCUCUGCACACCACGCUGGCCGCGGUCAGAUCCCACAGAUGGUCACACACGGUCCCCCACUUCCCCUCGCGGAGCACCUCCACCCGACCCUCGCCCAGCCGUGCACCGGCCUUCAGACGCACCGCCGCCUGCAGGAACACACAGACACAUGAGCCGUGUCCCCGGGGCCAGGGCUCACAGCUGGACCCUGAGCAGCACUCACCUU